rnacentral:rRNA from 1 species
AUUGAACGCUGGCGGCAUGCUUUACACAUGCAAGUCGAACGGUAACAGGCCGCAAGGUGCUGACGAGUGGCGACCGGGUGCGUAAUGCAUCCGAACGUGCCCAGUCGUUGGGGAUCACUACUCGCAAGAGUAGCUCAUACCGCAUACGAUCUAUUGAUGAAAGCGGGGUACCGUAAUGCUUCGCGCGAUUUUUGCUGCCGAUGUCAGAUUAGGUAGUUGGUGGGGUAAAGGCUUACCAAGCCAACGAUUUGUAGCUGGUCUGAGAGGACGACCAGCCACACUGGAACUGAGACACGGCCCAGACUCCUACGGGAGGCAGCAGUGGGGAAUUUUGGACAAUGGGCGCAAGCCUGAUCCAGCAAUGCCGCGUGCAGGAAGAAGGCCUUCGGGUUGUAAACUGCUUUUGUACGGAACGAAACAGCUCUGGUUAAUACCCGGGGCUAAUGACGGUACCGUAAGAAUAAGCACCGGCUAACUACGUG